CCUACGGGAGGCAGCAGUGGGGAAUUUUGGACAAUGGGCGAAAGCCUGAUCCAGCCAUUCCGCGUGAGUGAAGAAGGCCUUCGGGUUGUAAAGCUCUUUCGCAAGGGAAGAAAACUUAGCUACUAAUAUUAGCUGAGGUUGACGGUACCUUGAUAAGAAGCACCGGCUAACUACGUGCCAGCAGCCGCGGUAAUACGUAGGGUGCGAGCGUUAAUCGGAAUUACUGGGCGUAAAGCGUGCGCAGGCGGUUUUGUAAGUCAGAUGUGAAAUCCCCGAGCUCAACUUGGGAACUGCGUUUGAAACUACAAGACUAGAAUAUGUCAGAGGGGGGUAGAAUUCCACGUGUAGCAGUGAAAUGCGUAGAGAUGUGGAGGAAUACCAAUGGCGAAGGCAGCCCCCUGGGAUAAUAUUGACGCUCAUGCACGAAAGCGUGGGGAGCAAACAGGAUUAGAUACCCUGGUAGUCCACGCCCUAAACGAUGUCUACUAGUUGUUGGUGGAGUAAAAUCCAUGAGUAACGCAGCUAACGCGUGAAGUAGACCGCCUGGGGGAGGUACGGUCGGUCGAGAAGUUAAACGUAACGAAAGAAAGUUAGACGGCGNGAGACGAGCCGACGGACGACGACGAGGGGAGGUUAGGGAG
rnacentral:rRNA from 1 species